UUNUGAACUGGGUGACUAGAGUGUGUCAGAGGGAGGUAGAAUUCCACGUGUAGCAGUGAAAUGCGUAGAGAUGUGGAGGAAUACCGAUGGCGAAGGCAGCCUCCUGGGAUAACACUGACGUUCAUGCCCGAAAGCGUGGGUAGCAAACAGGAUUAGAUACCCUGGUAGUCCACGCCCUAAACGAUGUCGAUUAGCUGUUGGGCAGCAUGACUGCUUAGUAGCGAAGCUAACGCGUGAAAUCGACCGCCUGGGGAGUACGGUCGCAAGAUUAAAACUCAAAGGAAUUGACGGGGACCCGCACAAGCGGUGGAUGAUGUGGAUCAAUUCGAUGCAACGCGAAGAACCUUACCUGGUCUUGACAUGUACGGAACCCUCCAGAGACGGAGGAGUGCCUUCGGGAGCCGUAACACAGGUGCUGCAUGGCUGUCGUCAGCUCGUGUCGUGAGAUGUUGGGUUAAGUCCCGCAACGAGCGCAACCCUUGUCAUUAGUUGCCAUCAUUAAGUUGGGCACUCUAAUGAGACUGCCGGUGACAAGCCGGAGGAAGGUGGGGAUGACGUCAAGUCCUCAUGGCCCUUAUGACCAGGGCUUCACACGUCAUACAAUGGUCGGUACGGAGGGUAGCCAAGCCGCGAGGCGGAGCCAAUCUCACAAGACCGAUCGUAGUCCGGAUUGCACUCUGCAACUCGAGUGCAUGAAGUCGGAAUCGC
rnacentral:rRNA from 1 species